rnacentral:rRNA from 1 species
UACGUAGGGUGCAAGCGUUGUCCGGAAUUAUUGGGCGUAAAGAGCUCGUAGGCGGUUUGUCGCGUCUGCUGUGAAAACGCGAGGCUCAACCUCGCGCCUGCAGUGGGUACGGGCAGACUAGAGUGUGGUAGGGGAGACUGGAAUUCCUGGUGUAGCGGUGGAAUGCGCAGAGUAUCAGGAGGAACACCGAUGGCGAAGGCAGGUCUCCUGGGCCAUUACUGACACUGAG